GAUGAAGAACGUAGCGAAAUGCGAUAAGUAGUGUGAAUUGCAGAAUUCAGUGAAUCAUCGAAUCUUUGAACGCACAUUGCGCCCCUUGGUAUCCUGAGGGGCAUGCCUGUUCGAGCGUCAUUUCACCACUCAAGCCUGGCUUGGUGUUGGGCGACGUCCUCUUUGGGGACGCGCCUCGAAACGCUCGGCGGCGUGGCACCGGCUUUAAGCGUAGCAGAAUCUUUCGCUUUGGAAGUCGGGGCCCCGUCUGCCGGAAGACCUGCUCGCAAGGUUGACCUCGGAUCAGGCAGGGAUACCCGCUGAACUUAAGCAUAUCAAUAAGCGGAGGA
rnacentral:misc_RNA from 1 species